AUUGAACGCUGGCGGCAGGCCUAACACAUGCAAGUCGAAUGGUAACAGGAAACAGCUUGCUGUUUCGCUGACGAGUGGCGGACGGGUGAGUCAUGUCUGGGAAACUGCCUGAUGGAGGGGGAUAACUACUGGAAACGGUAGCUAAUACCGCAUAACGUCGCAAGCCCAAAGAGGGGGACCUUCGGGCCUCUUGCCAUCAGAUGUGCCCAGAUGGGAUUAGCUAGUAGGUGGGGUAACGGCUCACCUAGGCGACGAUCCCUAGCUGGUCUGAGAGGAUGACCAGCCACACUGGAACUGAGACACGGUCCAGACUCCUACGGGAGGCAGCAGUGGGGAAUAUUGCACAAUGGGCGCAAGCCUGAUGCAGCCAUGCCGCGUGUAUGAAGAAGGCCUUCGGGUUGUAAAGUACUUUCAGCGGGGAGGAAGGGAGUAAAGUUAAUACCUUUGCUCAUUGACGUUACCCGCAGAAGAAGCACCGGCUAACUCCGUG
rnacentral:rRNA from 1 species